GACGUAGGGCGCGAGCGUUGUCCGGAUUUAUUGGGCGUAAAGAGCUCGUAGGCGGCUUGUCGCGUCGACUGUGAAAUCCCCGGGCUCAACCCGGGAACUGCGUCCGAAACUGGCAGGCUCGAAUUCGGGAGAGGGAUGCGGAAUUCCGGGUGUAGCGGUGAAAUGCGUAGAUAUCUGGAGGAACAUCGGUGGCGAAGGCGGCCUGCUGGGCAGUUGCUGACACUGAGGCGCGACAGCGUGGGGAGCAAACAGG
rnacentral:rRNA from 1 species